UUCCAGACUCCUACGGGAGGCAGCAGUGGGGAAUAUUGGGCAAUGGAGGCAACUCUGACCCAGCAACGCCGCGUGAACGAUGAAGGUCUUCGGAUUGUAAAGUUCUUUAAGUGGGGACGAAGAAAGUGACUGUACCCACAGAAUAAGCCACGGCUAACUACGUGCCAGCAGCCGCGGUAAUACGUAGGUGGCGAGCGUUGUCCGGAAUUACUGGGUGUAAAGGGAGUGUAGGCGGGAAGGCAAGUCAGAAGUGAAAAUUAUGGGCUCAACCCAUAACCUGCUUUUGAAACUGUUUUUCUUGAGUGAAGCAGAGGCAAGCGGAAUUCCUAGUGUAGCGGUGAAAUGCGUAGAUAUUAGGAGGAACGCCAGUGGCGAAGGCGGCUUGCUGGGCUUUUACUGACGCUGAGGCUCGAAAGCGUGGGGAGCAAACAGGAUUAGAUACCCCAGUA
rnacentral:rRNA from 1 species